rnacentral:sRNA from 4 species
AUAUCUCUCUGUACGGGAAGGAUGAGAAGCUUCUACCAGGGUUCGAUUCGAGCGCAGCGAGAAAGCGUUGCCGCAGGCAACGACCCGAAG